GUCUGUGUCUGUAACAAAUUUGUAACUAUCUCGCUUCAACGUGAUGAUUUUCAGGUGUCAGAGCAAAAUCUCAGCUUUUUGUUUCAGUAUCCAAAAAUUUCGACUCUAAUUUCUUCUCGUUUCAGUUUCCGACAGGUGCUGUAAAAGCUUGUAGGAUUUGUAAAUGGUUUAAUCUGUAGGUUCUUGCGUUUUAUGAUAAUUUAAGGGGUUUAUGGUAUAAAGGGUUAUCGAAUUGUUAUACAUGAUGUCCGGAUCUGAGCCGGGAAUCAUGUCGGCUAGAGAAUAUUUCGACGUCGGUCUCCAGAAAAGUGCUGCACCUUCUCAACCUUCGGGGAUAGCCAACAUGAGAUUAGCGUUCAGUUCCGAUGGGACUGCAGUCUACAAACCUCUCAACACCUCUCCAACAACUUUUCAACCAAGCAGUGGAGCUGCUGCUACUGGUAGUGCUGGUGGUGGAGGCGGUGAUGGUACAACCGGCGCAAUUGUUCAGCACGGUCUUAAUAUGAACAUGGGUGAGCCGAUGAAGCGGAAGCGAGGGAGGCCGCGAAAAUAUGGUCCUGGCGGCACCAUGGCACUUGCAUUGACGCCUACGACGCCUGCUGUCCCCUUCGGA